GCUUGCACCAUAACUUAGCGGCGGACGGGUGAGUAAUGCUUAGGAAUCUGCCUAUUAGUGGGGGACAACAUCUCGAAAGGGAUGCUAAUACCGCAUACGCCCUACGGGGGAAAGCAGGGGAUCUUCGGACCUUGCGCUAAUAGAUGAGCCUAAGUCGGAUUAGCUAGUUGGUGGGGUAAAGGCCUACCAAGGCGACGAUCUGUAGCGGGUCUGAGAGGAUGAUCCGCCACACUGGGACUGAGACACGGCCCAGACUCCUACGGGAGGCAGCAGUGGGGAAUAUUGGACAAUGGGGGGAACCCUGAUCCACCCAUGCCGCGUGUGUGAAGAAGGCCUUUUGGUUGUAAAGCACUUUAAGCGAGGAGGAGGCUACUCUAAUUAAUACCUAGGGAUAGUGGACGUUACUCGCAAAAUAAGCACCGGCUAACUCUGUGCCAGCAGCCGCGGUAAUACAGAGGGUGCGAGCGUUAAUCGGAUUUACUGGGCGUAAAGCGUGCGUAGGCGGCUUUUUAAGUCGGAUGUGAAAUCCCUGAGCUUAACUUAGGAAUUGCAUUCGAUACUGGGAAGCUAGAGUAUGGGAGAGGAUGGUAGAAUUCCAGGUGUAGCGGUGAAAUGCGUAGAGAUCUGGAGGAAUACCGAUGGCGAAGGCAGCCAUCUGGCCUAAUACUGACGCUGAGGUACGAAAGCAUG
rnacentral:rRNA from 1 species